rnacentral:sRNA from 1 species
CAGCGACAGCGCGUCAUGAAUGCACAAC